AAGGUUAUGAAUGGUGACAUAAA
rnacentral:snRNA from 1 species